GAACCCAACCCCUGCAGAAAUAUCAUUUUUUUUAUCCAACUAGUCAUCUUCCCCAGCUCUCUUCCUCUCUCUCACUGUCACUGGUAUGCUCAGCCGAACAGAACCAUCUCAUCUCUCUCUCCCUAACUACAGAGCAGGCCGCCGCCGGCUCGAUCUGCCACUUCCGGCCAUCUCCGGCGACACCGCGGACACCCACGAAAUCCCCUCGACUCCCUCUACCAUAUCCCCCCAUUUAUUUGAUCCGCCGCCGCCAAAAUCGCCGCCACCACUCAAUCCUAGCGCCGCCUGAUCCAGGUCCGGUGGGCUUUCCACCGGCUGCAGCGGCAACGACGUCUCCAUGCCUACAUCCUCCCCCAUCGCAGCCACACGCACGAGGCGUGCAGCCACGGGCGUCGGGCGCGUGCGGCUUCACCGGCGCUGCUCUGUUGCCAUGGCUCUGCUGCUAACGGUGUGGACUAGCCACAUCCUACUGCUACUACUGGUAAAGAGAUCAAGGUGAAUAGAUGCUCAUGGACUGAUUCAAACCGAGGCGGAGAUAGAUAAGAAAUCAAGCAAGAAGGGCUAACACAACAAGGUACUUGAUUAGUACCUGGUGGCGCAUGCAACCUAAAGAUCUUCACCGCAGUGAAGGACAGAAGUGUGGCAGAAGGUGAAAAGGCAAGUGGUGGGGGUACUCCAGCGUAUGUGUGUGUGAGGUAGAAUGGUCCAGUGAAAGGGAUGGCUCCUAUUUAUAGUGGGGUGAAUAGCUAUGUCGGUUUGAAGACACAUUACAUCCAUGCAUGCAUGCAUGGUUAGUCUUGCAUCCAUGCCUCCAAUUGUGAAAUUUUCGUCAAAAAAGACCACCUACGUUUUGGCAUUGACAAAAAAGACCACUUG